GGCGGGGAGCCGCGGCCCCACCGAAGGGACCCCCGGCCGCCGAGCGGCCUCUACGUCAGCGCCCCGGGUGGCGCCGCCUCCGCCUGCGGCCUGGCCGCCGCUCCUGCCGCGGAAGGCGGGCCGGGGACCUGCCCGGGAGAAGUGAUCGUCACCCAGCAUUUAUCGGGUGCACUGUGCUCAGUUCUUCCCAGACCGGACCACUCUCACCAGCUGCUUCCAAAGCACUUAGAACCUCCCCUGGGUGGUGAGUACACAGUCAGCACUCACAUGACACCGUGGGUGUUACUGCUGCCACUUUGGAGAUCAGUAUCUAGAUGGGUGUCAUGGCUGGGUAGGAUUGGUGCCAUUUCCAGAAGUGAAAACAGAGGCUCAAAAGAGUUAAAAUGCCUCAUGAAGGAGGUCAGCUGGCUGGUGAGGUGGGGGAGCAAGACAGGAACCCAGGCCAAACCCAAAGCCUAUGCUGCACCCCCUGGCCACCCUCAGGGAGCCCUAAACACACACAGUAGCUGGGAGCCUGUAAUCCCACCCGUGGUUCACUGCUGACACUGGAGAACGGACCUGCAUCUGGAAGUGUCAGUGAGACUCUGCUGUUAUUCAGAGCUCUUCCACGGCUUCACUCAACAAACUGCACUGAAUGCUAGUGCAGAGAUUUUUAAAAUUGUGGUAACAUACACCAUAAAAUUUACCAUUUUAACUGUUUUUAAGUGUGCUGCUCUGUGGCAUUGAGUACAUUCACAUUGUUGUACAAUCAUCACUGUCACCCAGCUCCACAACAUCUUCCCAAACUGAAACUCCUCCUAUUAAACACUAACUCCCCAUUACCUCCUCUCCCUGGCCCCUGGAUACCACCGUUCUACUCUCCGUCUGUAUGAAUUUGACAACGCUGGCUACCUCAUAUAAGUGCAGUCAUACAGUGUUUGUCCUUUUAUGACCGGCUGAUUUCAUGUAGCCUAAUGUCCUCAAGUUCAUCCAUGUCAGAGCAUACAAUCCGAUUUUGUAUGUAUAUACUAGUACUAGAGGUCUGAUGCACGAAAUUCAUGCAAGGCCCUUGGCCCCAGCCCCCCACCCGCUGCCCAGGCCGGGGCCCUCUGCCGCCUCUGCCUCGGCCCACUGCGGCUUUGUCCGGGAAGGAAGGACAUCCAGUCUAAUUAGCAUAUUACCCUUCUAUUAUUAUAGAUCAUUUGGUUUAUCCAUUCUCUGUUGAUGGAUACUUGGAUUAUUUCCAUGUUUUGGCUCUAGUGAAUUAUUCUGCUAUGAACAUGGGUAUACAAAUAUCUGUUCAAGCCCCUGCUUUCACUUCUUUUGUGUGUACAUACACCCAGAGUGGAAUUGCUGAACCAUAUGGUAGUUCU